UAGAUGUGUUAGACCAAAUGGGGA
rnacentral:piRNA from 1 species